rnacentral:rRNA from 1 species
CCCUACGGGGGGCAGCAGUGGGGAAUUGUUCGCAAUGGGCGCAAGCCUGACGACGCAACGCCGCGUGGAGGAUGAAGAUCUUCGGGUCGUAAACUCCUUUCGAUCGAGACGAAUGGCCUCCGGGUAAAUAGUCCGGAGGAGUGACGGUACCGAGAGAAGAAGCCCCGGCUAACUCCGUGCCAGCAGCCGCGGUAAUACGGGGGGGGCAAGCGUUGUUCGGAAUUACUGGGCGUAAAGGGCUCGUAGGUGGCCAACUAAGUCAGACGUGAAAUCCCUCGGCUUAACCGGGGAACUGCGUCUGAUACUGGAUGGCUUGAGUUUGGGAGAGGGAUGCGGAAUUCCAGGUGUAGCGGUGAAAUGCGUAGAUAUCUGGAGGAACACCGGUGGCGAAGGCGGCAUCCUGGACCAAUACUGACGCUGAGGAGCGAAAGCCAGGGGAGCAAACGGGAUUAGAUACCCUGGU